CUUCGCCAUCCUCCAGCUACAGCCUCAGAAGUCUUACCUACUACAUGGGCUACUGGCUUGUCACUCGGAGUUCGAGAAGAUGAUCCUGAGGAGGAAAGAGGAAAGAAAAAGCAUCAGCAGAAGGCCAUGCUGCUCACUUCACUACCAACCCAGCCCUCUACCCCUGGUCAAGCCCACCCACCAUGGCCACCAAGCACCUCUUCACUCCGGGGACAGAGGCAGAGUGAAGAAUAAAUUUAAUCACUGUUAACAGUUUGCUGUGGUCCCUUCCAGUCCUGUCUUGGUGUGUGUAAAUGCAUAUAUGGGCGUCUU